rnacentral:lncRNA from 1 species
GAUAUAGAAGUUGGAAAGGACUUGUGGCACAAAGGAGUCCAUAUAUCAGAAAAAGACAGUUUCUUAGUUUUGGAAAAGAAUUGCAACAAGGUGUGAAAGCUGAAGUACCCCCAUAACAGGGGGAAUGAGGCGUCAAGCUAAGGGCGAUAAAUGAACUCUAGUUGGGAGGCAUCCCAAGGAAAGUAUUCGUAAUUUUUAUUUUUAG